rnacentral:rRNA from 1 species
CAGCUCCAAUAGCGUAUAUUAAAGUUGUUGCAGUUAAAAAAGCUCGUAGUUGAAACUUGGGCCUGGCUGGCGGGUCCGCCUCACCGCGUGCACUCGUCCGGCCGGGCCUUCCUUCUGAAGAACCUCAUGCCCUUCACUGGGCGUGCUGGGGAAUCAGGACUUUUACUUUGAAAAAAUUAGAGUGUUCCAAGCAGGCCUUUGCUCGAAUACGUUAGCAUGGAAUAAUAAAAUAGGGCGUGCGUUUCUAUUUUGUUGGUUUCUAGAGACGCCGCAAUGAUUAACAGGAACAGUCGGGGGCAUCAGUAUUCAGUUGUCAGAGGUGAAAUUCUUGGAUUUACUGAAGACUAACUACUGCGAAAGCAUUUGCCAAGGAUGUUUUCAUUAAUCAGUGAACGAAAGUUAGGGGAUCGAAGACGAUCAGAUACCGUCGUAGUCUUAACCGUAAACUAUGCCGACUAGGGAUCGGGCGAUGUUCUUUUUCUGACUCGCUCGGCACCUUACGAGAAAUCAAAGUUUGGUCUGGGGGUUAG